AACACUGGAGAACAACGUACAGACAGCAGGCACGUGGAUAACACUGGAGAACAACGUACAGACAGCAGGCAGGUGGAUAACACUGGAGAACAACGUACAGACAGCAGGCAGGUGGAUAACACUGGAGAACAACGUACAGACAGCAGGCAGGUGGAUAACACUGGAGAACAACGUACAGACAGCAGGCAGGUGGAUAACACUGGAGAACAACGUACAGACAGCAGGCAGGUGGAUAACACUGGAGAACAACGUACAGACAGCAGGUAGGUGGAGAACACUGGAGAACAACGUACAGACAGCAGGCAGGUGGAGAACACUGGAGAACAACGUACAGACAGCAGGCAGGUGGAUAACACUGGAGAACAACGUACAGACAGCAGGCAGGUGGAGAACACUGGAGAACAACGUACAGACAGCAGGCAGGUGGAGAACACUGGAGAACAACGUACAGACAGCAGGCAGGUGGAGAACACUGGAGAACAACGUACAGACAGCAGGCAGGUGGAUAACACUGGAGAACAACGUACAGACAGCAGGCAGGUGGAGAACACUGGAGAACAACGUACAGACAGCAGGCAGGUGGAGAACACUGGAGAACAACGUACAGACAGCAGGCAGGUGGAGAACACUGGAGAACAACGUACAGACAGCAGGCAGGUGGAGAACACUGGACACCUGUUCGCCAGGGGGAAAGAUAACACCAGACACAUAUUACUGUAUUUGACUGGUUCAUGUGUCAUUUCAUUUACAGGAGAAGCCAGAGGAUUGUCAACAAACCAUCAGUUUGUGAAAAACAACAACAAUCUACUCCUUAUAUUCACUUGUCCUUUGGUCUUUAAGCUUAACUUAACCCUUCAGCUUAUCUACAUCUAUCUAUCUUAUUUAUCUUAUCUCUAAGGUGGGAAUCAACAUGGUAGAAGCUCCACCCAGACACUUCAGUUCUGGGGACGUGGAAGGGCUCGGGUCGAGGGGACAGGUUAGGGC